rnacentral:rRNA from 1 species
UACGUAGGGUGCAAGCGUUGUCCGGAAUUAUUGGGCGUAAAGAGCUCGUAGGUGGCCUGUCGCGUCGGCUGUGAAAACUCGAGGCUCAACCUCGAGACGUCGGUUGAAACCGUAUGGCUAGAGUCCGGAAGAGGAGAGUGGAAUUCCUGGUGUAGCGGUGAAAUGCGUAGAUAUCAGGAGGAACACCUGUGGUGUAGACGGCUUUCUGGACCAUAACUGACGCUGAGACACGAAAGCGUGGGUAGCAAACAGG